rnacentral:rRNA from 1 species
AGCCGCCGUUGAAAUACCACCCUUGUAUGUUUGAUGUUCUAACAUUGGUCCCUAAUCGGGAUUGUGGACAGUGUCUGGUGGGUAGUUUGACUGGGGCGGUCUCCUCCCAAAGAGUAACGGAGGAGCACGAAGGUUAGCUAAUCACGGUCGGACAUCGUGAGGUUAGUGCAAUGGCAUAAGCUAGCUUAACUGCGAGACAGACACGUCGA